rnacentral:rRNA from 1 species
UACAGAGGUCCCAAGCGUUGUUCGGAUUCACUGGGCGUAAAGAGCGCGCAGGCGGUCGUGCAAGUCGCGUGUGAAAGCCCCCGGCUCAACUGGGGAGGGUCACGCGAUACUGCUCGACUCGAAGGCAGGAGAGGGAAGUGGAAUUCCCGGUGUAGUGGUGAAAUGCGUAGAUAUCGGGAGGAACACCAGUGGCGAAGGCGACUUCCUGGCCUGUUCUUGACGCUGAGGCGCGAAAGCUAGGGUAGCAAACGGG